AUCACUCACACUCCCCCUGAAUUCAUGCAUACACACAUCAGAUAGAGAAAGAAUAUUCACUACUCCCCCUCAACACAUGCAUAUUACUCACACUCCCCCUCAAUACGAGCAUAGAUCAAUAGCGCAGAAACAGUCACCAGAUGUAAGAACAUCUGUCAGAGGUAAGAACAUCUGUCCACACACUUGUCACACACACACACUACUCCCCCU
rnacentral:lncRNA from 1 species